GACUGUGGUUAAGGAACUUUUCUUGUGCCUGGUUCUCCUGGUGCUCCGGAAAGGCAGCAGAGGUUCAAAAAGGGUGGAUGUGAGGGAUCCAGAGUAAUUAUCUGAGCCCCUUUUAUCACUCUGAAUGCUUUCAUUCUUGAAGAGAAAGCAGAGGAUCAGCAAUACUCCUAAACACAGGUGCUGAUUGUGACAGAAAGCAGUGCCUCUGACUUUCAGCCAGCAGAUGGCAAAUGAUACUCAGGUUUGGAAAUGUUGGACGCGCCUACAUUGGUUUGAGGUGUGUGUCUCGAUGAUACAAGGACAAUGAGAAAUUGAGUCAUACACCAAACUCUGACGAUCAGAACAAAACCAGGCAGCAAAUAAUAUUGUCAGCAGAUUGAGUCUGGGUUUCAUCACAGGCCUCAAGCAUGAAGCAAAACUGCUGUGCUGGGAUUGAAUUAAACAUAGGCCUUCUUGAAUAUGGGAAAGUGAAGUCAAAUAUAUUAAUUAGGUAAAAUAAAUAAAUAAAAUUCCUCAUGACCCUGCUGACAGAUCCAGCUUGGUGUAACCAGUCUGCGCUUCUCACACUGGUCCACUCCCUUUUCACCAUCUAGUAUUGAUUUUCUAACCUCCUUAUUACUGAAAUAAAUGACUACAUAUUCAA